CCUACGGGUGGCUGCAGUGGGGAAUAUUGCACAAUGGGGGAAACCCUGAUCCAGCGACGCCGCGUGAGUGAAGAAGUAUUUCGGUAUGUAAAGCUCUAUCAGCAGGGAAGAAAUAAAUGACGGUACCUGACGAAGAAUCCCCGACUAACUACGUCCCAGCAGCCGCGGUAAUACGUAGGGGGCAAGCGUUAGCCGGCUUUACUGGGUGGAAAGUAAGCGUAGACGGCGGCGCAAGUCUGAAGUGAAAGGCGGGGGCUUAACCCCCGGACUGCUUUGGAAACUGUAUGGCUGGAGUGCAGGAGAGGUAAGUGGAAUUCCUAGUGUAGCGGUGAAAUGCGUAGAUAUUAGGAGGAACACCAGUGGCGAAGGCGGCUUACUGGACUGUAACUGACGUUGAGGCUCGAAAGCGUGGGGAGCAAACAGGAUUAGAUACCCCUGUAGUC
rnacentral:rRNA from 1 species